GACGAACGCUGGCGGCGUGCUUAACACAUGCAAGUCGAACGGAAAGGCCCUGCUUUUGUGGGGUGCUCGAGUGGCUAACGGGUGAGUAACACGUGAUUAACCUGCCCUUGACUUUGGGAUAACUUCAGGAAACUGGGGCUAAUACCGGAUAGGAGCUCCUGCUGCAUGGUGGGGGUUGGAAAGUUUCGGCGGUUGGGGAUGGACUCGCGGCUUAUCAGCUUGUUGGUGGGGUAGUGGCUUACCAAGGCUUUGACGGGUAGCCGGCCUGAGAGGGUGACCGGCCACAUUGGGACUGAGAUACGGCCCAGACUCCUACGGGAGGCAGCAGUGGGGAAUAUUGCACAAUGGGCGGAAGCCUGAUGCAGCAACGCCGCGUGCGGGAUGACGGCCUUCGGGUUGUAAACCGCUUUCGCCUGUGACGAAGCGUGAGUGACGGUAAUGGGUAAAGAAGCACCGGCUAACUACGUG
rnacentral:rRNA from 1 species